CGAAGCUCACGGUGUUGACAUCCCGGAAGAUGUCGAGAAGAUAGAGCAGUUCAUGCGUGAGAGGAACAUGGCUUAGAGCAAAGUGAGUUAUUUUGAUGAUUCACAUAUAACUCCUACAGCUAUAAAGGUGGUGUUCUUUGGUUUCAAUUUGCGCUUUGGUUAGCACGUCAAUUAUCACUGAGAGUUAACUUUUGUGAAGAAAAAGAAAAUUGGAACUGAACUCGCCGUGUAAAUCCUGCAAAUAGUUCAUAAUAUAGAGUUGUUUGAAGUGUGUGUUUCACUUACGUAUUCAUUUGUUGUAGGAAGGUUGUGUAUCACAUUUUCUUUCAUAUUUUACGAUUAAUUGAUUUGUAUUUAUUAAAACUAUGAUUUAGUGAUAACCAUAUCUGCGUAGACACGUGGCAUAUAUUUAUUGAGUUCGGUAUAAAUAGUUAGUGUGGG
rnacentral:misc_RNA from 1 species